CUAAUCUAUUCAAAUUAUUUUGGAUUAUAAGAAAAUGUUUUCUUGCAAUUAAUUGUGAGUUCUUUGAGGAUGGGCUCAGGUAAUGAGCUUUGGGCCAGAGCCCAGAGAACACAAUGAAGGUUGCGAUUUUAUUUUUAUCUUUUUAUAUUCCCGUUCACUUUGGCCUCGGCGGUGACCUGAAAAACCAGCCCUGGAAACAGGGAACACAGAUAGGGCUCUCCUUCGUCUGAUAUGCUUUUGUAUUUAAAUUUACACACCAUUUAUAUAGAUAUAUUUUGCUGGGAUGAAUUGAAGUUGUACACCCGUAAUCUCUCAGACCCAUGUAUUGAAUUUGUUAAGGCUGCAGUGUUUGUAUGAUAUGCUCAAUACUUUACAUGGACACGAGGAAAGAGUGGUAAAAUGACAACAUUAAAGGCGAAUGGAUACAAGGGAGUGAAGGGAGUGGAAAUAGUGUGCAGAAUAUGGUCCAUGCAGGUUUUAGCAUAUAUGCAGUUGUUUUGAUGGACAAUCAUUAGUUGCCACUAACAGAUAAGUGGAGGCUAUCCAGAUUGCUAAGUGGCUUACUGAGAGUAGUUUGAUAAGUGGAUCGAAAAAUUUCAUGCAGAAUCCAUGAAUGAGUGUAAUGUAAUGAGGGUUACAGUUGUAUUAUAAGAUAAUAUGUACUUAAUGAACUACUGUCCUGAUAAUUGGAAAGACAUUAUCAUAUUAUUCAUCAA